rnacentral:rRNA from 1 species
UAUUUAAAGUCUAAUCUGCUCACUGAAUUAAAAUUUAAAGAGCCGCAGUAUUUUAACUGUGCAAAGGUAGCAUAAUAAUUUGUUUUUUAAUUGAAAACUAGAAUGAAUGAUUGAACGAGAUAUAUACUGUCUCAAUUUUAAUUUAAUAUAAAUUAAUUUUUUAGUUAAAAAGCUAAAAUUGAUUUAAAAGACGAGAAGACCCUAUAGAUUUUUAUAUAAUUAUCAAUUAAUUUAUAUAUAUAUAAAUUUAUUUAUAUUUAUUGAUAAUUGUAUUUUAUUGGGGUAAUAAAAAAAUAAAAAAAACUUUUAUUAAAUAAAAACAUAAAUUAAUGAAAAUUUGAUCCAAAUUUAAUGAUUAAAAGAUUAAAUUACCUUAGGGAUAACAGCGUAAUUUUAAUUUUAAGUUCUUAUUGAAAUUAAAGAUUGCGACCUCGAUGUUGGAUUAAGAAAAAUUUUAAAAGUAGAUUUUUAAAUUUUAGGUCUGUUCGACCUUUAAAAUCUU